AGGGAUAUAGCUCAGUGGUAGAGCACUUGCCUUACAUAUGCAAGGGCCUAGAUUUAAUCCCCAGUAUCCUUC
rnacentral:tRNA from 1 species